rnacentral:rRNA from 1 species
AGAGCGAACGCUGGCGGCAGGCCUAAUACAUGCAAGUCGAACGGCUCUUCGGAGCAGUGGCGGACGGGUGAGUAACGCGUGGGAAUGUGCCCUUUGGUACGGAACAACUGAGGGAAACUUCAGCUAAUACCGUAUGUGCCCUUCGGGGGAAAGAUUUAUUGCCAUUGGAGCAGCCCGCGUUGGAUUAGCUAGUUGGUGGGGUAAAGGCCCACCAAGGCGACGAUCCAUAGCUGGUCUGAGAGGAUGAUCAGCCACACUGGGACUGAGACACGGCCCAGACUCCUACGGGAGGCAGCAGUAGGGAAUCUUGCGCAAUGGGCGAAAGCCUGACGCAGCCAUGCCGCGUGAAUGAUGAAGGUCUUAGGAUUAGUAAAAUU